rnacentral:rRNA from 1 species
UGCAACCCGCCUGCGUGAAGUUGGAAUCGCUAGUAAUCGCGGAUCAGCAUGCCGCGGUGAAUACGUUCCCGGGCCUUGUACACACCGCCCGUCACACCAUGAGAGUCGGGAACACCCGAAGUCCGUAGCCUAACUUUAACGAGGGGCGCGGCCAAGGUGGGUUCGAUAAUUGGGGUGAAGUCGUAACAAGGUAAC